rnacentral:rRNA from 1 species
CCCCUAGAUGUUCUGGGCCGCACGCGCGCUACACUGAACAGUUCAACAAGUCUUAACCUUGGCCGAUAGGUCUGGGUAAUCUUUGAACGCUGUUCGUGAUUGGGAUAGACCUUUGCAAUUAUGGAUCUUCAACGAGGAAUUCCUAGUAAACGCAAGUCAUCAGCUUGCAUUGAUUACGUCCCUGCCCUUUGUACACACCGCCCGUCGCACCUACCGAUUGAAUGGUCCGGUGAAAUCUCGGGACGGCGGCUUGGUCGCUUGCGUCCGACUGCUGAAACUUGAUUAAACCAUAUCAUUUAGAGGAAGGUGAANUCGUANCA